UUUCUUUCUGUGAAUGAAUAGAAAUGAAAUGAAUAGAAGAAAUCAUAAUUUAUUAAAUAGUUAUUUUAUGAACAUUAAACUAGAAAUUAAUCUAAAGAUUCAGCUUACGAAAUUUCAAUUGAAAGUAAAUUCUAAAAAUUGCAACCUGUUCUAAGAAUUAAUUAAGAUUCUGGUUGAAAAACGUUCGAUUUUAUUAAUACGAUUAUUUAUUUAAAACGAGGCAAUGAUUUAUUCUAUCGAAAUGAGUCAGAUUUGAUCCAGUGUAGCUAAAGAUUUAUCGUCGAGUGAUCUGGAACUUAGUAACGAGGUCCGGAAUAACAAUGAAGGAAAUAAUUCAGUCAUUUCCAAGAGAUAACAUUCCUGUGAAUAGAAGUGAAUCAAUGCAGGUGAUUUGUAGCAUAGUUAACGCGCUCAAUAUUACAGAGGGUCAGAGUUAUAUAUUUUAAGAAGAAUUUUUUCUAUGGCCCAUGGCCCCCUGGUGUUUGCUUACGACGAGAUUUGACUCAAAAUAAAUUAAGCAGGGAAAUGUUAAGUUUCACUUUUGAGUGUACAGAAAUAGCGAACAGGUGCAGACGAAAAGGCGACUGGAAAGUAGUUGCCGUAAGAAAUGAAGGUGAAUAAAAAAUAAUGAAUAAAAUAAAAUAAAUAAAAAAUAAAGAAUAAUAUAAGGACUAUGUGUCUUCACAGAAGUUAAACUCUGCUGUUAAUAUUCCGUAUUUUAAUUUUGUCUGGUCUUAUUGACGCCAAGUUAUACGGUAAACGAGGCGUGUCCUCGCAAAAGACACGUCUCUGCUAAUUGCAACCUGGCGAACGAUUAAUGCGUUGUGAAAAAAAAUCUUCAUACACACGCAACACACACAUUUAAUUAAAUAGAAUUUUGUUUAUGUACGAGUGGAGAGUUGAGAGUUGAGAGAAAAUAAUAAUAAAAAGAGAGUGAAUAAGUAGCGAGUUCUGACUUGUAAUGAACGUAAGAAUCUUUAAGACUCAAAGUGUUAUUGUCUGAACA